rnacentral:rRNA from 1 species
UGCCUAAUACAUGCAAGUCGAGCGCGCCCCUUCGGGGGCGAGCGGCGGACGGGUGGGUAACACGUGGAUAACCUGUCCAGAAGUCGGGGAUUACCCCUGGAAACGGGGGUCAAUACCGGAUACGCCCCCCGGAUCGCAUGGUUCGGAGGGGAAAGGUACCUUCGGGUGUCGCUUUUGGGUGGAUCCGCGGCGCAUUAGCUAGUUGGUGAGGUAAGGGCUCACCAAGGCGACGAUGCGUAGCCGGCUUGGGAGAGCGGACGGCCACACUGGGACUGAGACACGGCCCAGACUCCUACGGGAGGCAGCAGUAGGGAAUUUUCCGCAAUGGGCGAAAGCCUGACGGAGCGACGCCGCGUGGGUGAAGACGGCCUUCGGGUUGUAAGGCCCUGUUCAUCGGGAAGAAGAAAUGACGGUACCGGUGAAGAAAGCCCCGGCUAACUACGUGCCAGCAGCCGCGGUAAUACGUAGGGGGCGAGCGUUGUCCGGGAUGAUUGGGCGUAAAGGGCGUGUAGGCGGAUGUAUAGGUCGGGCGUGAAAGGCACGGGCUCAACCCGUGUAAGCGUUCGAAA